rnacentral:rRNA from 1 species
AUUGAACGCUGGCGGCAUGCCUUACACAUGCAAGUCGAACGGCAGCACGGGAGCAAUCCUGGUGGCGAGUGGCGAACGGGUGAGUAAUAUAUCGGAACGUGCCCAGUCGUGGGGGAUAACGUAGCGAAAGCUACGCUAAUACCGCAUACGAUCUAUGGAUGAAAGCGGGGGAUCGCAAGACCUCGCGCGAUUGGAGCGGCCGAUAUCAGAUUAGGUAGUUGGUGAGGUAAAGGCUCACCAAGCCGACGAUCUGUAGCUGGUCUGAGAGGACGACCAGCCACACUGGAACUGAGACACGGUCCAGACUCCUACGGGAGGCAGCAGUGGGGGAAUUUUUGGACAAUGGACGCAAGUCUGAUCCAGCCAUUCCGCGUGCAGGAUGAAGGCCCUCGGGUUGUAAACUGCUUUUGUACGGAACGAAAGGUUUCUAUUAAUACUAGGAGCUCAUGACGGUACCGUAAGAAUAAGCACCGGCUAACUACGU